CUCUUAUAGCCAUCUCUCCUAGAAGCGAUGGCUAGGCGAAUUUCUAAAGGUGCCUCGCCACCUUUGGCAGAUCUUCGUCGGGGUUCUUCACUGGCAACAACUAGACAAUAGGUCCAACCAUGGCAGAUGCGCUUAGGAGUGAGCUCAAUAGUCUAAUGUCCGAAAUGUUUUCCGAGGGUUUUCUGGAUGAUCAGUUCAAGCAAAUAGAGAUAAUGCAGGAUGAUACAUCACCAGAUAUCAUCACC